rnacentral:rRNA from 1 species
UACGGGGGGGGCAAGCGUUGUUCGGAAUUACUGGGCGUAAAGGGCUGGUAGGCGGCCAACUAAGUCCGACGUGAAAUCCCAAGGCUUAACCUUGGAACUGCGUCGGAUACUGGAUGGCUUGAAUUCGGGAGAGGGAUGCGGAAUUCCAGGUGUAGCGGUGAAAUGCGUAGAUAUCUGGAGGAACACCGGUGGCGAAGGCGGAUCUCUGGGCCGAUACUGACGCUGAGGAGCGAAAGCGUGGGGAGCGAACAGG